CGGGCGGCGGCCGGAGCGUUCAGACGUGUGUCUGUGCGUGCGUCUUGUUCGUUAAAUUAUUAAAUAAAUUAUUAAACCGCGACCGCGACACGAAUUAAUUAAAGUGAUUCUGUGCUGUGUUGUGCUGUGAAAUUUUAAGGAUAUUUUGUACAAGGGACAAUUUAACCGCAAAAAGUUUUAUCACAUGUUUUGCUUCCACCUUCAAGGGUCGCCCAACACGAAUGCCAAGAUUGCAUUAAACAGUCGUCAAAUGUGCUAACCAUUGCAAUUUCCACUUGGAGUUAUGAAUUUUGAGAGCUCAAAAGCUGGUGUCUGUGUUGGAUUGCCUUACGGACUGGUUGCAGCCGGCCAGCGGGAUUCGGAGGAUUUCAAAGGCGUUCUUCGUCUGGUUCUUCAGAAAUUAUUUUUUAACUGACAAUAAUUAUUAUUAAACGUUGUUAUAUUUGUGUGAUUGAUUAUGUUUUUUUAAUAAACGCUAAAGAAAUG